GACGAACCGUGCAAACGUUAUUCGGAAUCACUGGGCAUAAAGGGCGCGUAGGCGGCUCCAAAAGUCAGGGGUGAAAUCCGGCAGCUUAACUGUCGCAGUGCCUUUGAUACUGUGGAGCUAGAGGGAGGUAGGGGUCUGUGGAACUUCCGGUGGAGCGGUGAAAUGCGUUGAUAUCGGAAGGAACGCCGGUGGCGAAAGCGACGGACUGGAUCUCUUCUGACGCUGAGGCGCGAAAGCCAGGGGAGCGAAUGGG
rnacentral:rRNA from 1 species